ACCCCAGUCCCCGAAGGCGUUUUGGGGGAGUCCUACAGGAGCUCCCAAAGAAUUCCUGCUGCCGGUGCGGCUGCUGCCCUCCUGGGUGCCCCCGGCACCCCCCCCAACCCUCGGCAGGCAGGCGCCGGAAUUUGUGCGUGCAGGCUGUAACAGACAUGCUGUGCGAUGCGUGAGUGUGGCGUGAAAGCGCCGGGCAUCCCCAGCCGUGCUUCUCUGCGGGUGGUGCUCUAUUGAGUUCUAAUGCUGGAUGCUGCCAUGAAGAAGUCAGAGGCCAGCCUGAUAUGCCCCCACUUGCUCCAUGUAAGGUGCUGGGGACAGAGAGGUGAACGAGAACGAGACAUUCAAGACAUCUGCCCCAUGGAGUGUGUGUUCCAGGUGGGGGAAAUAGACAAAAAAGAAGCUGUACUGAAUAUUUGCUCUUCGCCCAAUGACCUUUAAAAUUUCUUUCUAUAUUUUGAUUAUUCCGGAUAUCUUGAGUUCCUCCUUCCCAAAGCAGAAGCCUGCCUCUCUUGAAGCGAAGGUGCAGGCAUGUGACCUACUUCCCUCCAAUCACACUCACCGAUCGAUCUGAGAUACCAAUGGCGGGGCGUGGGGGUGGGGGGCAGUGAGCUCUGUGUGGGGCCAGCUGCAUGCUAGCCUGGGUGGUGGCCAAGGCGGUAUGGCUCUGGAGUCAGUGACGACAGCAGCAGCUCCCACAUCGGUUGUGCGCUUCUUGGACACGCUCCUGAAAACUGCAUCUAGAGUCUGUUUCUUCACCAUCCGAUAAGCUAACAUCCCUGAGUAAAUUCCCUUUCUACUCAAACUGGCCAGAAUGGACUCUGCUGUGUGCAAGCAAGAAUACUGUGAAUGUGCAAAGAAGUAAAUAUACACACUAAAGAAACUAAGACCUCCUCCCUCUUUGUCAGGUGCACAGAUUAUAGGAGCCUGGGAUGAGAGCCUUUGUACCUGGUGCCCUGGCCAAAGGCUCUUGAUCUCUUGUAGGGAGUACUAUACUGUCCUCCUCUGUGAGGACUGUGAGAUGAUAUGUACUGGGAUGGGAUUGUGUAUUUUUAUUUUUAAUCUGCUUUUUUAUUUUGUUAAAGAUUUUAUUUCUAUGUAAUCUCUACACCCAGUGUGGGGCUUGAACUUACAACCCUGAGGUCAAGAGUCACCUGCUCUUCCUACUGAGCCAGCCAGGCGCCCCAGAUUAAUGGUAUUGUCAUACAAUUAUGUACCCAUCUCGUGGUCAGAAAUAAGCAAGGGGCUAGAGCCUGACUGGACCUGUCUCAGGAAGGGAAGAAGGAAAGAAACAAUCCAGGAUGUGUGGCCUUGGGGUUGUGGGCCCUCCAGGUCCUGCAUAUCUAUGUGAUGGAGGCUGGCUCAGUGUCCCCGGAAGCCAGAUUUACGCCCUCUGACGUCACCGUUAAGAUUAGCUGCAGAAGGGAAAAUGGGGGUCCUGCCCACAAUUCAGGCUCUGCUUUAAUUAAAUCAGUGUCUUGUCCUGGGAGACAAAACGACUCGCCAAGAACACUAAACUGAUGGCAGGGGAAGUGAGUGCCAUGGAAGUGCUUUGUGCACUGGCAGGUCCGGUCUGUUAGCAGCGCAAGGUGAGAGGUGUUUUUCUGUCGGAUGCAUUUCUUUGCAUUUUCCAAGGCUGGUGGAUCAAUAGCUACACACAGCUGAAAUAAAUUUCUGUCUUUGCUCUCCGUACCCUGUGACAGGGAGAUGUUGGGCCAUUAGAUAACUCUGGUUCCCAUCCGGUGUUCCUCCUGUCAGUGACUGCUGUCCGUGACCUCUCUAGGUACUCACAACAGCCUUCUAAGGUGAGGGCUACUGUGUCUAUUUCAGAGACAGGAAAACCGAGGCCCGGGGCGGGGGGACAUCAUGAGGCAGAGUCCCAGGGCCUCUGUGCAUGUAAGCUGUUGGUUCUUCCAAGUUCUGUCAUUACCAUUGUCUAUUUUCCGGGCUACAGAGGAAUCAUGACCCUCAGAGAGGAAACAUUGCUUGCCCAAGGUCACAGAGCCAGUGAAAGGCAGGGCUGGAGUUAGAAGCCGGCCUGUUGGAUCACAGAGCCUCCUGCUAGGAGAGCUCAUCAGCCUGGGCUGGGCUGACCUCUGCAUGCCUGCCCUGGAAUCAAUGGGAGAAAGGCAUCAAGAUGUAUAUUCCUCUGAGAGCCCCUGGAGGGAGAAGCAGGCUCCUUCCCCAUCCGCAGUAGCAAGGGCAUCAAUUCCUGGCUCUGGAAGGCCCUACUCCCCAAAGCUGCAGCUCUAUUUUUAGCCUUGAAUCCAUCAAUAAAUGGAGCCUGGCAGAGCAGGCGACUCCUGGCUGCCUGAUAUUAAUAAGAUGAGAGAACGGGACCAUUUAUUAAGCGCUUUCUGUGUGCUGGGCAUUAUGCAAAGUGCUUAACAUGGAUUAUCUACUUAAAUCUUACAACAUUCCUAUGGAAUAACUACUAUUAUGAUCAUUUUAUAAAUAAGGAAAGUAAGGCGCAAAGAGGUUAGGGGACUUGCUUGAGGCCACGCAGCUGAUAAACUGCAGAGCCAGGAUCCAAAUGCAGGUCAGACCCAGGUUUGUGGGAUUCUGAGCCCACGUGCUUUCCUCCUUACCACUUGGUCCAAUAAAACAGGCCCCUGUUUGCCCACCCUGGGGGUGGGGGGCAGAGGCGGCAGCCGCAAUCAUGGUACCAGGAGGUGUUGUGAGGCAGGAAGGAGCCACAAGCUCCAAUUGGUUGGUUGGUUUCUGUCACUGAGAACAGAAACCCGACCUGAGCGUCUCCAGAGGGAGAAAGGCUGGAAGAGCCUUGUGGGCAGAAGGAAUAGCAUAGGCAAAGGCAAGGAGGUAUAAAGUGAGGCCUGUUCAGGGCACAGUGAACAGUCUGGUGGGAUUUGGGCAGAGAAGGAAGACGAGGCCAGUCUUGGAGCAGGGCAAGAUUCCGUAAGAUCUUCAAUCCCGGGAAGUUUCGAUAUUCUGGAUCCUGGAGGGAUUGUGAGUGAAAGAGUGGCUUUGUCAUGUCUGAGCUUCAGAGCAGGGGGUGGACUUGAGAAAGAGACGUGGGAGAGGGAGACAGAUGGCUAUUCUCACUACUGGUAGUGACAAUAGCUGCCAUUUGCUGAACACCUGCUAUGUGUGUUAGGCCCCAUAGUAGGUGCUUUUCCCAAGUUAUCACCUAAUAAACACAGUGGUGGCCAUUGGAAGGCUUUCAUUAUCCCUCUUUUACAGAAGAGGAAACAGAGGUUUUGUGAGGUCAAGUGACUGCUCAGGGCCACUAGGAUUGGAAUCUCCAGAGACCUUGGUGCUACACUGGCCAGAGAGGAGGGUGUGUAACAGUAACAGUCUCAGGCAAAAGGACAUUUGUCUGAAGUCUCAGGAACAGAGACGAUAAGGUAGGUUUCAAAGAUAACAGAGACGAAGAUUUUUUUGUUUUAUUUUGUCCUUUAAAUAAGUUUAUUCUCACACAUUGAGGAUAGCAUUUAUGUUACUAAGGUUACAAAGCUUUUCUGGGGCCGGAACUGGCAGAAAGACUCAGCCAAGGGAGAGGGCAUUGUUUCUCAGGGCAGUGGCUAGGAGAAGGAAGAAAAGGCAGGGUCUCAAGUUCAGUGUGUCCAGUGGCACAGUCAGAGGUGCAGCCAGGGCUCAGGGUUCGAAGGCCCUAUGGCAAGCGGCAGGGGUGAGUGAAGGAAGGGGUCAGUCUGGGUCCCAACUGCAUCUGACAUCUGACAUCAGUAGGGUUGCAGAGUCUCCAAAGAGGUGGGAAAUAUACCUCCCUCCACCCCCUGCCCACCACACACAAUAAUAGAGAUAUGUCAAAAUGUUAAGAGACACAGGACCCAACUAGAAGAACUCCCAGUGGCCACAGCUGGAACAGUCUGACCAACAAAAUAAAUAAAGCAGCACUGGGGGCACCUGGGUUGCUCAGGCGGUU